GAUGAACGCUGGCGGCGUGCCUAAUACAUGCAAGUCGAGCGAACGGGCGAGAAGCUUGCUUCUCUGAUGUUAGCGGCGGACGGGUGAGUAACACGUGGAUAACCUACCUAUAAGACUGGGAUAACUUCGGGAAACCGGAGCUAAUACCGGAUGAUAUUUUGAACCGCAUGGUUCAAAAGUGAAAGACGGUCUUGCUGUCACUUAUAGAUGGAUCCGCGCUGCAUUAGCUAGUUGGUAAGGUAACGGCUUACCAAGGCAACGAUGCAUAGCCGACCUGAGAGGGUGAUCGGCCACACUGGAACUGAGACACGGUCCAAACUCCUACGGGAGGCAGCAGUAGGGAAUCUUCCGCAAUGGGCGAAAGCCUGACGGAGCAACGCCGCGUGAGUGAUGAAGGUCUUCGGAUCGUAAAACUCUGUUAUUAGGGAAGAACAUAUGUGUAAGUAACUGUGCACAUCUUGACGGUACCUAAUCAGAAAGCCACGGCUAACUACGUG
rnacentral:rRNA from 1 species